ACGCGUCCCGGGGACGUCCCGGGGACGAUACGCGAAAAAUACGUCCCCGGGGACGUAUUUUUAACUCCCCUUUUUUAAUUAACUUUUAAAUAAAAAAUACGUUUAAAAUACGUUGACCAGACGGUCAAAUACGUAUUUGAAGCAAAAAAUACGUUUCAGUCAAAAUUUUAAAACUUCUAACUUGUAAAACCCUAAUUCGCGCCUCCCUCACUCACCAUUUACGUUCGCACUCUCCUCUCUGACCCACCCGCCGCUCGCCGUCGCGCCUCCCUGCGCCAGCCCGCCGCUCGCCGUCGCGCCUCCCUGCGCCAGCCCGCCGUCGCGCUGCCCUGCGCCCCGCUGCUGUAAAGCCUGAAUUGGAGAGAGUUGUCUGUCUUCAAUGAUGAUGAAGAUUUGAGGGAAGAGGAAGAGGAGGAGGAGGAGAAAGACGAUGAUGAGUGAUCUGGGCUACUAACAUUUUAUUGUGUUUUAUUUCAUUAUUUCCUAUUUGGAACUUUGUUAUGAUGAAUUAGUAGUGUUUUACUUAUAUUCUUGGUGAA